AUCUUAAAAGGGACGGUAUUUUUUAAAAAAUAGUUUUCUAAAGAGAUUUUUUUUAAAAGAGUGAUUUCUUCUUUUUUAAAUAAAAAUGAGUGGUUAAGACAUAAAUACUCCUAAAACAUAUUUAUUAACUUAUAACAGAUGGUUUUCAAGGAAAUCCCAAUUGAGUUGGUGUCACUAAGUCCAGUGGCACCAUGAUUAGUUAGGGAAUUUUAUACAAGUCCAGUGACACCAAUACCACUUCAAAGUACAAUCUAAUGUUGUUCUCUAGUAUCUAGAGGUAAAGUACAAUCUAAUGUUGUUCUCUAGUAUCUAGAGGUAAACUUUUAUACAGGUAGUAGCACCAUUAAGGUAGAUGGAACGAUGGAAAUCCCAGGAAAUAGAGGGGAAGCUCUAUUCCUUGCCAUUCCCAUGCACAAUAUCUUCAAUUCAGGGUAACUUGAUGACCUCUCAAAGCAUGGAGGAGGUAUAAAGGGGACACCCCUUUAAUGUGAAAGAACGCCAAGAAGUCUAUUGUAUACAUUUAAUUAUUUAUUAUUUUAUUUACUUUAUAUAUCAAAACAAUACAAACAAUAAUGCUUUAU
rnacentral:lncRNA from 1 species